CGCGCAGGUGGCUUCUUAAGUCUGAUGUGAAAGCCCACGGCUCAACCCUGGAGGGUCAUUGGAAACUGGGAGACUUGAGUGCAGAAGAGGAUAGUGGAAUUCCAAGUGUAGCGGUGAAAUGCGUAGAGAUUUGGAGGAACACCAGUGGCGAAGGCGGCUUUCUGGACUGACACUGACGCUGAGGCUGAAAGCUGGGGAGCAAACA
rnacentral:rRNA from 1 species